rnacentral:rRNA from 1 species
CACGUAGGGCGCAAGCGUUGUCCGGAAUUAUUGGGCGUAAAGAGCUCGUAGGCGGACUGUCACGUCUGCUGUGAAAAGCUAGGGCUUAACCCUGGCCUUGCAGUGGAUACGGGCAGACUAGAGGUAGGUAGGGGAGAAUGGAAUUCCCGGUGUAGCGGUGAAAUGCGUAGAUAUCGUAAGGAAGACCAGUGGCGAAGGCGGGUCUCUGGACAGUUCCUGACGCUGAGGCACGAAGGUCAGGGGAGCAAACGGG